rnacentral:ncRNA from 1 species
GUUAAGUUUUAUUCUUGCUUUUUCAUUCAGUUUAUAUUUGUUCUAUAUGUAAGUUUGUGCGUGAGUUGUGUUUUAAUAAUUCUAAAUGGGUUAUUAUAAGUUGUGGUUGAUGGCCCCAAAUUCUCAUUAGUUAUCUUUAGUUGGUCAAGUAUUCUUGUAUUUAGCAAUUUAUUUUAGUUUCGGUUAAAUUUUGUGCCAGCAGCCGCGGUUAUACCUUGGAGACAUUUGAAUGUGUUUGGUAUGUUGUAGUUACAUUAUUAUAUGUUUGGAAUAUUUAUUUUAUGGUUGUUAGGUGAAAUUUUUUCUUUUGUUUAAUUUCUUAAGGUUUUUUGGAGGCUAUGAAAUUCUUUUUAUAAACUAGGAUUAGAUACCCUAUUAUUUUAGAAUGUUAAUUUUUUGUGUCUGAGUAGUAUUAGUUAUGUUCUUGAAACUUAAAGAAUUUGGCGGUAUCUCAUUCCUUUCAGAGGAAUCUGUCUCGUUAUCGAUAGUCCACGUUGGACCUUACUUAGUUGUUUAAUGGUUUGUAUACCGCCGUUUAUUGAUUAUCUUUUUAGGGUUAUUUUAAUUUUCUGGUUUCUUUAUUUUGAUUUAUUUCAGGUCAAGGUGCAGCUUGUUUCUAAGUGAUUGAUGGAUUACAUUAUUAUUUGUGUGCUGGAUUGUUGAUUUUAAUAUUGGCAUGAAAUUGGAUUUGGUUGUAAUGAUUUGUAGAUUGUUAUAGUGAUAUUGGUUCUGGGAUAUGCACACAUCGCCCGUCGCUCUCGUUUAGUUGUUAAUGAGAUAAGUCGUAACAAAGUGGCUGUACCGGAAGGUGCGGCUGGGUUGGG